CACACCAAGAACGGCUUGGCCGAAAUCUUUUAAAACGCAAAUAGCUGAUUGAUAUACCAUAACUUAUGAGGUCAAAACUCUCAUUCACAGCUUGGGCCACACGAAAAUUACAUGCACCUAAGUUAAUACGCAUCAGGCUAUUUAGUGAGCAUAGAUAUCCCCUAUCACAAUUAUUAACGGGUCAAGAGCCAGACAUACCCCAUCAUAAGACAUUUGGAUGUGUUGUCUAUGUACUAAUGGCUCCACCACAGAGAACUAAGAUGGGACCUCAAA
rnacentral:lncRNA from 1 species